rnacentral:rRNA from 1 species
AUGACCCUUCUUGUAGUUGGGGGUGCAACCAUAGGUUUUGGCAUUGCAAGCCACAUCUGCUCAAUUUACGCACCACAUCAUAUUCUGGCAUUGCAAGCCACAUCUGCUCAAUUUACGCACCACAUCAUAUUCUGCCAUUAUUAA